GCUCCGGGCGCCCCGCGGAGGGGACGGCCGUUGGGGCCGUUGGCGGGAGGGGUCACCUGAUCGCCCGCGCGUCCCCGCCGCGGCCUCGCUCUCUCCCGGCGYAGGUCCCGCGCAGCGCGGUUGAAAGCGUCACGUGGCUGCGCCCGCCGCCAGUCAUAGAGGCAGGCGCGGGAGGGUAGAGCGGCCUCGUGCUGACGAGCUCCCGCGCCGCCAUCUUGGUUGUGGGCAGGAGCUGUAAGGCGGCGCCUCGACCGUUGCUCUGGCGCCGCGCGCGUGAGGUGGCUGCGCCCGAUCCGGCCUCGUCCCGUCACCGCCGCUCCCGGGCCCUCGCCGCAGGGGGGACGGUUGUGGUGCCCCCACGGGAGAGGAACCCGGGGCCGCGGAGGGGCGCUGCCGCUCCCCGCCAGGCGUGCGGUGCGCCUCGGGCGUCUGCCGCCGCCGCCGGAGAAGGCGGAGAGGAACGGGAAGGUGGCAAAAGUUGCUGGCGGUGAGGACAGCCAGGCGGUCAGGGGCACAGAGGUGCUCUGGUGCGCCCUGAGAACUGGGAGUGAAUCAGUGAAACGCCACCGUAAAGACGAAGUGAAGUCUUGCUCCCUAGCAACCCAAGUGGCAUGUUUACUGAGUGAAAACAGGGCAUUUUGGAGCAAGGCUAUCCAGGAACUGCAGAGUUGCUGUUUCUCAGGACAGCGAGUGAGAAUGGAGUCCUGGAGCCCUCUGGUGGAUGUAUGUAGAAAGAAGACAGCUGAAAAUAAUCUGGCAGACCUUUCAAAGUACAUCAGUGAGAUGGGUCGGAAGAGCCACCUCUUGUCAUCUCCUGGAACGUGAUCGCUUCCCAGCAUCCUUCCACUGAGGCUGAAUGGUGGUGGACCCCUUUCCUUUUCUUCAGAUCUGCAUAAAGGGGCAGGCUGAUCUAGUGGUCAGAGUGCUGGAAUGGUGACUGGAGAUGUCUGUGUCAUCCCUUUUCUGUCAAUGAUCGGACGAGCACUGCUGAAUGAGUCACUUUCUCUGUGUUGUCUAAUUAAAAGCAGGCUGGUCAGGACAGGAAGGAUUUCUUGCUUUGCACAGUACGGGGAUCCUUCGUCUCAGUGACUCCAGGUGAUACUAUAAUAUGGUUUGUAAUCACAAUACACAGGGACUGUGUGUGGCUUUCCAUGACUGUAGCCUGUGGCUCUACUACUUUGUGUACUUAUUCAGUAUCCCUUGGGCUGCCUGCUAUAAGCUGUGACUUUAUUAAGAGUCUUUUCAAGACCCCAAACAGUGAUGUACAGAUUGUAUUUUGACCUUACACUCGUAGCCCAGCAAACGUGUCUGUGAAUGCUAACUAGCCUAAUCUGGUCGAUGUUUUACCAGAUUCAUCUCUCACAUGAAAAUCAGUACUUUGUAUGCCCAGUCCAGCAGGCCUCAAACAGUCAGUAAGCAAGAACUGCUUUUCUCCACCUGAAAGAAUAACAAUGUUCGCAUAAAUGUCGUAAAGAAGUUUUUUGCUGUUUAUUUUUAAGAUGCAGCUCUUUGUCUUGUGCUUUUGAGCC
rnacentral:lncRNA from 1 species